UUAAAAUAUUUAAAUUUCAGGUGUUGAAAAAUCACUGUGAAAAGUGUUAAAAAGACUAAAAGCAAAGUGGGUUUAUAAAACAAAGUCCCACAAAUCAGAUUGUAUCAUAAUUUUUAUGCACAGUGGUUAUCAUUUACCCCUCUAUAGCAAACCAUUUUGAUUAUUUAGCAUAUUAAUUCAUUAAUAUGCUAAAUAAUCACAUCUAAUUUGGUAAUAUCUUCUCAUAAUUGAUAAGUUCAGGUUGUCUUUUAAGCAACUAUGGAGUAUCAAAAUAAUUCCAAGGUAAAAUAUAGUACUUUGAGUUUAGUGUCUUACAUACUAUAUUUUUCCCCCCUUCAUUUCCAGGACUCCACUAUUGUUACUCCAAUUAUUCUGAGGACUGAUCCACAAGGAUUUUUCUUUUAUUGGACAGAUCAAAAUAAGGAUUGGUGCAUAUUCAAAUACUCACCAGGUACAUUCAAGGAGUUUUCAUCAAUGCAGAGUGUGGAUGUGCUCAUGGUGAUUAUGAAGCUGAAGGAUGUGCUGCAGACAUUUGGAAAGUUGGCAAAUGGAUAGGUUUAAAAUGCUAUCUCAAGGUUGUUUUAAACUGGAAAUUGCAGGGAUGCCCAUCAAUUGAGGAAUGGCUGGACAAUUGUGGUAUAUGAUUGUGAUGGAAUACUACUGUGUAUAAGAAAUGAUGAACUCAAUGAUCUUAGAAAAAACAUGGAAAGACUUGCAUGAAAUAAUGAAGAGUGAAAUGAGCUGAACCAAGAGAACACUGUAUAUAGUAACAGCAAUAUUGUUUUAAGAAUGACUUUGAGCAAGUAAGUCAUUUUGUCUGUUAGAAAUACCCAAAUUAACUAUAAAGGACGUAUGAAGAAAGACACUAUCUACAUCCAGCGAAAGAAUUGAUGAACAGAAGUAUGCAUAGAAUAAUUUUACAUAUGUAUGUAUGUGUAUGUAUAGCCAUCUCUGGGGUAGAGGGGAAGGAAGAAAAAAAUAAAUUUACGUGAUUACUUUAUUAUAUAUUUAAA
rnacentral:lncRNA from 1 species